UGGGGAAUAUUGCACAAUGGAGGGAACUCUGAUGCAGCGACGCCGCGUGAGUGAUGAAGGAAUUCGUUUCGUAAAACUCUGUUCUAUGGGAAGAAAAGGACUGUACCAUAGGAGAAAGCUCCGGCUAAAUACGUGCCAGCAGCCGCGGUAAUACGUAUGGAGCGAGCGUUGUCCGGAAUUAUUGGGCGUAAAGGGUGCGCAGGCGGCUUUACAAGUUGGAUGUGAAAUAUUGUGGCUCAACCACAAACGUGCAUCCAAAACUGCAAAGCUUGAGUUAAGGAGAGGUAAGUGGAAUUCCUGGUGUAGCGGUGGAAUGCGUAGAUAUCAGGAGGAAUACCGGUGGCGAAGGCGACUUACUGGACAUAAACUGACGCUCAGGCACGAAAGCGUGGGGAGCAAACAGG
rnacentral:rRNA from 1 species